AUGCUGGGGGCUAGGGAGGUAAGUCAGGAAAGUACAGGCUUUAGCCCAAAUGAUCUGGUGUUUGGACACACAGUGCGUGGCCCUUUGGCAGUCUUGCAGGACGAUUGGAAGAAUUCUGAGCCACCUAAAAACUUGCUGCAUUAUGUAAAUGGCUUCAGGAAUAGGCUAUAUGCUGCUGGAGAGCUAGCAAAAGAGAAACUUGCAGGCGCCCAACAAAAAAUUAAGCGUCUUUAUGACCGUCGAUCCGAGCAACGCACGUUUUCCCUGGGUGAUCAAGUUCUCGUUCUGCUGCCUUUGGUCGGUUCCCCCUUUCAGACUAAAUUUACUGGUCCACAUACAGUUGUAAAGAAAGUUUCAGACCAAAACUAUUUGAUUGCCACGCCUUUGCGUAGGAAACCUAACCAACUCUGUCAUAUUAACUUACUGAAGACUUAUUACGAUCGUGUGUCCUCUCCAGUAUGCCCCCGUCCGGCGUGUUUGGCUAAUACAGUCCUUGUGGACUCCAUCCCUCAUGCGGUGGCAGAGCUUGAGGAGGAUGGGUUGUCCACUCCUGACCAAUCCCUGUUAAAUGGGAGGUUGAAGAAUUCUGAAUCACUUGUUAACCUUGACAGCUCGUUGCGCCAUUUGGGGGAGGUUGAACACACUCAUAUUGAUGUAGGUGAUGCAAGGCCCAUUCGUCAACGUUUUUAUAGGGUGAAUCCAGAAAAACGUAAGCAGAUGGACUCGGAAAUAAAAUAUAUUCUUGAAAAUAACAUUGCAGUUCCGUCAUCGUCCAGCUGGGCGUCUCCAUGUUUGACGGUUCCAAAACCUGAUAAUACGCCAAGAUUUUGCACAGACCUGCGCAAGGUUAAUAACGUGACAAAUCCAGAUUCAUACCCACGUAUGGAUGAUUGCAUAGACCAAGUUUCCUCUGCAACGUUUAUUUCAAAAUUUGAUUUGUUGAAAGGAUAUUGGCAGGUGCCAUUGUCCGAGAGGGCUCGAGAAAUAUCUGCUUUCAUAACUCCUUCCGGCCUUUAUUCCUACACGGUGAUGCCGUUUGGUUUGAGAAAUGCUCCAGCCACGUUUCAGCGUUUAAUGAACAUGGUUGUGCGUGACCUGGAGGGCUGUGCAGUGUAUUUAGAUGAUGUUGUCAUCUAA
rnacentral:lncRNA from 1 species